rnacentral:rRNA from 1 species
UACGAAGGGGGCUAGCGUUGCUCGGAAUGACUGGGCGUAAAGGGCGCGUAGGCGGCUUGUAUAGUCGGAUGUGAAAUUCCUGGGCUUAACCUGGGGGCUGCAUACGAGACGUAUGGGCUUGAGUGCGGAAGAGGGUCGUGGAAUCCCAGUGUAGAGGUGAAAUUCGUAGAUAUUGGGAAGAACACCGAUGGCGAAGGCGAGCCCCU